rnacentral:rRNA from 1 species
GACGAACGCUGGCGGCGUGCCUAACACAUGCAAGUCGAACGGAGAUGUUGAUUUCGGUUGACGUCUUAGUGGCGCACGGGUGAGUAACGCGUGAACAAUCUGACCUUAAGAGGGGGAUAACAACGAGAAAUCGUUGCUAAUACCGCAUAAGACCACAACGUCGCAUGGCGAAGGGGUCAAAGGAGAAAUCCGCUUAGGGAGGGGUUCGCGUCCCAUUAGGUAGUAGGUGAGGUAACGGCUCACCUAGCCUGCGAUGGGUAGCCGAGCUGAGAGGCUGAACGGCCACACUGGAACUGAGACACGUUCCAGACUCCUACGGGAGGCAGCAGUGGGGAAUAUUGGGCAAUGGGCGCAAGCCUGACCCAGCAACGCCGCGUGAGGGAAGAAGGUUUUCGGAUUGUAAACCUCUGUCGCAGAUGACGAAAAAAAUGACGGUAAUCUGUGAGGAAGCCCCGGCUAACUACGUG